rnacentral:ncRNA from 1 species
GCGAGAGAUCGUGACAAGCAUACGUCGCUGUCUCUUGGUAUCUUGUGAUACCUCUAAAUUGGCGUAGCAAGACCCUCGCUAUGUGAUUUAGAACCUCUUCUACACGUCGACAAGAUUGAUAUCUUGUGUUGCCAGCCCCUCUUCAGGCUGGCCUUUUUUUGU